CACAGGGUUAGAGCCAGAAGCAGAGGUUGUGCACAAGGGGUUUGGGAAGGAAUGAUGCUAUCAAGGAGACCAAAGAGAGCUGGUUCUGGGAGUAACGGAGGAAGCACUUUCCAGGGAAGAGGAAGCAGGAUGACGGUGCUGUGGAUGAGCUCAGCCAACACACAGAAAAUCAGUGUUGUUAGGGAACGAGUCUCCUGGACGUAGGGCUGAUAACUAUGUGUUUCGUGUUUCGCUGAUGCACUUGACAUGGAGUGACUGAUAAAUGGACCAUGGAUACCUUUGCUUUCUGUCUCCAGUGGAUGUUCAGAUACACUCAACAACUGGAUGGUAUAUUCUACACAGUGAAGAUUAUCCCUUAAAAAGAUACACUCAGAGCCACACGCUGGGCAGUGAAGGCCCAGCCCCUCCUUCUAUCUGGAAAACCAGAGCCCCCACCACGAGGCCUCACGUGCAGCGUCUCAGGAGCCACCGCACAGGACUCAUGUGUCUGAAUUUAAUUCAUCGGUUUAACAGUUACAUAGGCCCUUCAUGCAUGUAUUUUGAGCAGACUAGAAAACACCAGUACAUAUUAAUUCUUUUUUUUUUUUUUUAAAAGAAGCCAUUAAAUAUUAUGAGAAAAUAUAUAUGGGGUAGAAUAAAACGUUUAUACAUAGUUUUUGGUUUUGUUUU
rnacentral:lncRNA from 1 species